rnacentral:lncRNA from 1 species
GGAGCCGGGCUCUGCCCACGACUUCAACCGCGAGGAGGACUCCGCCCGGACUCCUACGGGAGCCGAGCUCCAUCGCCAACUUCAACUGUCGGUAAGCUCCGCCCGGACUCCUACGGGAGCCGGGCUCUGCCCACGACUUCAACCGCGAGGAGGACUCCGCCCGGACUCCUACGGGAGCCGGGCUCUGUCGCCAACUUCAACUGCCGGUAAGCUCCGCCCGGAUUCCUACGGGAGCCGGGCUCCGCCCACGGCUUCAACUGCC